rnacentral:rRNA from 1 species
UUUAUUGAGAGUUUGAUCCUGGCUCAGGACGAACGCUGGCGGCGUGCCUAAUACAUGC